rnacentral:rRNA from 1 species
GGCUCAGAUUGAACGCUGGCGGCAGGCCUAACACAUGCAAGUCGAGCGGUAGCACAGAGAGCUUGCUCUCGGGUGACGAGCGGCGGACGGGUGAGUAAUGUCUGGGAAACUGCCUGAUGGAGGGGGAUAACUACUGGAAACGGUAGCUAAUACCGCAUAACGUCGCAAGACCAAAGUGGGGGACCUUCGGGCCUCAUGCCAUCAGAUGUGCCCAGAUGGGAUUAGCUAGUAGGUGGGGUAACGGCUCACCUAGGCGACGAUCCCUAGCUGGUCUGAGAGGAUGACCAGCCACACUGGAACUGAGACACGGUCCAGACUCCUACGGGAGGCAGCAGUGGGGAAUAUUGCACAAUGGGCGCAAGCCUGAUGCAGCCAUGCCGCGUGUGUGAAGAAGGCCUUCGGGUUGUAAAGCACUUUCAGCGGGGAGGAAGGCGUUAAGGUUAAUAACCUUGGCGAUUGACGUUACCCGCAGAAGAAGCACCGGCUAACUCCGUGCCAGCAGCCGCGGUAAUACGGAGGGUGCAAGCGUUAAUCGGAAUUACUGGGCGUAAAGCGCACGCAGGCGGUCUGUCAAGUCGGAUGUGAAAUCCCCGGGCUCAACCUGGGAACUGCAUUCGAAACUGGCAGGCUAGAGUCUUGUAGAGGGGGGUAGAAUUCCAGGUGUAGCGGUGAAAUGCGUAGAGAUCUGGAGGAAUACCGGUGGCGAAGGCGGCCCCCUGGACAAAGACUGACGCUCAGGUGCGAAAGCGUGGGGAGCAAACAGGAUUAGAUACCCUGGUAGUCCACGCCGUAAACGAUGUCGAUUUGGAGGUUGUGCCCUUGAGGCGUGGCUUCCGGAGCUAACGCGUUAAAUCGACCGCCUGGGGAGUACGGCCGCAAGGUUAAAACUCAAAUGAAUUGACGGGGGCCCGCACAAGCGGUGGAGCAUGUGGUUUAAUUCGAUGCAACGCGAAGAACCUUACCUGGUCUUGACAUCCACAGAACUUUCCAGAGAUGGAUUGGUGCCUUCGGGAACUGUGAGACAGGUGCUGCAUGGCUGUCGUCAGCUCGUGUUGUGAAAUGUUGGGUUAAGUCCCGCAACGAGCGCAACCCUUAUCCUUUGUUGCCAGCGGUCCGGCCGGGAACUCAAAGGAGACUGCCAGUGAUAAACUGGAGGAAGGUGGGGAUGACGUCAAGUCAUCAUGGCCCUUACGACCAGGGCUACACACGUGCUACAAUGGCAUAUACAAAGAGAAGCGACCUCGCGAGAGCAAGCGGACCUCAUAAAGUAUGUCGUAGUCCGGAUUGGAGUCUGCAACUCGACUCCAUGAAGUCGGAAUCGCUAGUAAUCGUAGAUCAGAAUGCUACGGUGAAUACGUUCCCGGGCCUUGUACACACCGCCCGUCACACCAUGGGAGUGGGUUGCAAAAGAAGUAGGUAGCUUAACCUUCGGGAGGGCGCUUACCACUUUGUGAUUCAUGACUGGGGUGAAGUCGU